rnacentral:lncRNA from 1 species
UGAAUAGCUCCUGAACGUGAUAGCCCACGCCCUCUUCCUCUUGCAUCAGCUCCUUUGGCACCGAAUGGUGGAGGCGGUGGAGGUCCACCACCAACAGCUCCAGGUGGUGCUGGAGGGCCAGGAGCUCCUCCUCCAGGAGGUGGUGGCGGAGGUGGUGCUCCUCCACCAGGAGGUGGUGGCGGAGGUGGUGCUCCUCCUCCAGGAGGUGGUGGCGGAGGUGGUGCUCCUCCCCCUGGAGGUAGUGGUGGCGGUGGUGGUCCAACUCCAAGAGGUGGUGCUGGAAGUGGUGAUUCAACUCCAAAAGGCGGCGGUGGAGGUGGCGGUACCCCAGAAGGUGGUGGUGGAGGUGGU